rnacentral:rRNA from 1 species
GAUGAACGCUGGCGGCGUGCUUAACACAUGCAAGUCGAGCGAGUGAGUUCUUCGGAACGAUCUAGCGGCGGACGGGUGAGUAACACGUGGGCAACCUGCCUCAUAGAGGGGAAUAGCCUCCCGAAAGGGAGAUUAAUACCGCAUAAAAUUAUCGAGUGGCAUCACAUGAUAAUCAAAGGAGUAAUCCGCUAUGAGAUGGGCCCGCGGCGCAUUAGCUAGUUGGUGAGGUAACGGCUCACCAAGGCGACGAUGCGUAGCCGACCUGGGAGGGUGAUGGGCCACAUUGAGACUGAGACACGGCCCAGACUCCUACGGGAGGCAGCAGUGGGGAAUAUUGCACAAUGGGCGCAAGCCUGAUGCAGCGACGCCGCGUGAGGGAUGACGGCCCUCGGGUUGUAAACCUCAUUCAGCACCGACGAAGCGCAAGUGACGGUAGGUGCAGAAGAAGGACCGGCCAACUACGUGCCAGCAGCCGCAGUAA